UGCUUAUGAUGACAAAUGUAUAAGAGUAGUGGACAGGAGUGGUUUCUGAGAACUUUUUUUCUGAGGCU